AGGCAGAGGAGCAGAAGGAGCAGCUCCAGCAGCAGUGCUGCACUGUGGAGAUCAGAGAUCCUGAGGGAAAGAACAACCCAUCAAAUCCCUCUCAGGAGCUAUUUUUCAGGAGGAUCCCUUGGGAAGAUCAAAGUCAGGACACCUCAGGAGAGAAACAAAGAAGGAAGCUUUCUGGUUUUUAUGAGGGAAAUGAAACAGCGGUUGAACCUCCAAAUCAAGUAAGAAAGGGAAAAGAUAUUAGAUUUCUAUUCUCUCUUUAGGAAGUGAAGCGGGUGUGUAG